GCCGUGGUUACGUCCAGCUCCUUGUCUCCACAAGCCCUCGCCGGCUACAAAUUGUGUCUGCGUGUUUCAAUGAAAAUUCACCGGUUUAGAGUGUGACCGCUAACUUGCUGAGUGCUUUUUGUUGUGCUGAGAGUUUUGGCCUGGGUAUG